rnacentral:rRNA from 1 species
AAAUGCGUAGAUAUCAAGAAGAACACCGGAGGCGAAAGCGGCUCUCUGGACUGAUACUGACACUGAGGCAUGAAAGCUGGGGGAGCAAACAGGAUUAGAUACCCUGGUAGUCCCAGCCAUAAACGGUGUACACUUGGUGUGGGAGGAUUUGACCCCUUCCGUACUGGAGCUAACGCGUUAAGUGUACCGCCUGGGGAGUACGGCCGCAAGGCUAAAACUCAAAGAAAUUGACGGGGGCCCGCACAAGCGGAGGAGCAUGUGGCUUAAUUCGAUGCAACGCGAAGAACCUUACCAGGACUUGACAUGCAACUGCACGUCCCGUGAAAAUGGGACUCCUUCGAGGGUGUUGCACAGGUGCUGCAUGGCUGUCGUCAGUUCGUGCCGUGAGGUGUUGGGUUAAGUCCCGCAACGAACGCAACCCUUGUGUUUAGUUGCCACCGCCGGUGAUGAGCCGGCGAGCACUCUAGACAGACUGCCCAUAUCAAGUGGGAGGAAGGUGGGGAUGACGUCAAGUCAGUAUGGCCUUUAUGUCCUGGGCUGCACACGUGCUACAAUGGCCGGCACAAUGGGAUGCAAGACCGCAAGGUGGAGCCAAUCCUUAAAAACCGGCCCCAGUUCGGAUUGGAGUCUGCAAUUCGACUCCAUGAAGUUGGAUUCGCUAGUAAUGGCGCAUCAGAUACGGCGCCGUGAAUACGUUCCCGGGCCUUGUACACACCGCCCGUCACAUCAUGAAAGCUGUCUGCACCAGAAGGCGCUGCUCCAACCCGCAAGGGCGGAAGGCGCCGAAGGUGUGGGUGGUGAUUGGGAUGAAGUCGUAACAAGGUAACCGUA